UACGGAGGGUGCAAGCGUUGUCCGGAUUUAUUGGGUUUAAAGGGUGCGUAGGCGGCCCUGUAAGUCAGUGGUGAAAGCCUCCAGCUCAACUGGAGAACUGCCAUUGAUACUGCAGGGCUUGAGUACAGACGAGGUUGGCGGAAUUGAUUGUGUAGCGGUGAGAUGCAUAGAUACAAUCAAGAACUCCGAUUGCGUAGGCAGCUAACUAGGCUGUAACUGACGCUGAGGCACGAAAGCGUGGGGAGCGAACAGG
rnacentral:rRNA from 1 species